UACGUAUGGUGCGAGCGUUGUCCGGAAUUACUGGGCGUAAAGAGCUCGUAGGUGGUUUGUCGCGUUGUUCGUGAAAACCGGGGGCUUAACCCUCGGCGUGCGGGCGAUACGGGCAGACUUGAGUACUGCAGGGGAGACUGGAAUUCCUGGUGUAGCGGUGGAAUGCGCAGAUAUCAGGAGGAACACCGGUGGCGAAGGCGGGUCUCUGGGCAGUAACUGACGCUGAGGAGCGAAAGCGUGGGGAGCGAACAGG
rnacentral:rRNA from 1 species